CCUACGGGAGGCAGCAGUGAGGAAUAUUGGUCAAUGGCCGAGAGGCUGAACCAGCCAAGUCGCGUGAGGGAAGACGGCCCUACGGGUUGUAAACCUCUUUUGUCGGGGAGCAAAGCGAGUCACGUGUGACUCAUUGAGAGUACCCGAAGAAAAAGCAUCGGCUAACUCCGUGCCCGCAGGCGCGGUAAUACGGAGGAUGCGAGCGUUAUCCGGAUUUAUUGGGUUUAAAGGGUGCGCAGGCGGAGGUGCAAGUCAGCGGUCAAAUUGCGGGGCUCAACCCCGUACUGCCGUUGAAACUGCAGCCCUUGAGUGCGCGAGAAGUAUGCGGAAUGCGUGGUGUAGCGGUGAAAUGCAUAGAUAUCACGCAGAACUCCGAUUGCGAAGGCAGCAUACCGGCGCGCAACUGACGCUCAUGCACGAAAGCGUGGGUAUCGAACAGGAUUAGAUACCCCGGUAGUC
rnacentral:rRNA from 1 species